rnacentral:rRNA from 1 species
AUUGAACGCUGGCGGCAGGCCUAACACAUGCAAGUCGAACGAGUGGCGGACGGGUGAGUAAUGUCUGGGAAACUGCCUGAUGGAGGGGGAUAACUACUGGAAACGGUAGCUAAUACCGCCUACCAUCGGAUGUGCCCAGCUUGGAUUAGCUAGUAGGUGGGGUAAAGGCUCACCUAGGCGACGAUCCCUAGCUGGUCUGAGAGGAUGACGACCAAAACUGGACCUGAGCACCGGCCAAGAUCCCUACGGGAGGCAGAAUGGGGGAAUAUUCCACAAGGGGCGCAAGCCUGAGGCAGACAUGCCGCGGGUAUGAAGAAGGCCUCCGGGUGGUAAAGUACGUUCAGCGGGGAGGCGUUACCCGCAGAAGAAGCACCGGCUAACUCCGUGCCAGCAGCCGCGGUAAUUC